GACGAACGCUGGCGGCGUGCUUAACACAUGCAAGUCGAGCGGUAAGGCCCUUUCGGGGGUACACGAGCGGCGAACGGGUGAGUAACACGUGGGUGACCUGCCCUCAGCUCUGGGAUGAGCCUGGGAAACCGGGUCUAAUACCGGAUAUGACUCCAUGACGCAUGUUGUGGGGUGGAAAGCCUUGUGCGGCUGAGGAUGGGCCCGCGGCCUAUCAGCUUGUUGGGGGGUGAUGGCCUACCAAGGCGACGACGGGUAGCCGGCCUGAGAGGGCGACCGGCCACACUGGGACUGAGACACGGCCCAGACUCCUACGGGAGGCAGCAGUGGGGAAUCUUGCGCAAUGGGCGAAAGCCUGACGCAGCGACGCCGCGUGAGGGAUGACGGCUCGGUUGUAA
rnacentral:rRNA from 1 species